GGCAUACCUUACACAUGCAAGUCGAACGCGAAAGGGGGGCAACCCCCGAGUAGAGUGGCGAACGGGUGAGUAAUACAUCGGAACGUGUCCAGUAGCGGGGGAUAACCUCUCGAAAGAGAGGCUAAUACCGCAUACGACCUACGGGUGAAAGCAGGGGAUCGCAAGACCUUGCACUAUUGGAGCGGCCGAUGUCGGAUUAGCUAGUUGGCGGGGUAACGGCCCACCAAGGCUACGAUCCGUAGCUGGUCUGAGAGGACGACCAGCCACACUGGAACUGAGACACGGUCCAGACUCCUACGGGAGGCAGCAGUGGGGAAUUUUGGACAAUGGGGGCAACCCUGAUCCAGCCAUGCCGCGUGGGUGAAGAAGGCCUUCGGGUUGUAAAGCCCUUUCGGUGGGGACGAAACGGUGCGUGCUAACACCACGCACUAAUGACGGUACCCACAGAAGAAGCACCGGCUAACUACGUGCCAGCAGCCGCGGUAAUACGUAGGGUGCAGGCGUUAAUCGGAAUUACUGGGCGUAAAGCGUGCGCAGGCGGUUUGCUAAGACAGGUGUGAAAUCCCCGGGCUUAACCUGGGAACUGCGCUUGUAACUGGCAAGCUGGAGUGUGGCAGAGGGGGGUGGAAUUCCACGUGUAGCAGUGAAAUGCGUAGAGAUGUGGAGGAACACCGAUGGCGAAGGCAGCCCCCUGGGCUAACACUGACGCUCAUGCACGAAAGCGUGGGGAGCAAACAGGAUUAGAUACCCUGGUAGUCCACGCCCUAAACUAUGUCAACUGGUUGUCGGGGAAGCAAUUCCUUGGUAACGAAGCUAACGCGUGAAGUUGACCGCCUGGGGAGUACGGCCGCAAGGUUAAACUCAAAG
rnacentral:rRNA from 1 species